rnacentral:rRNA from 1 species
AAAGAUUAAGCCAUGCAUGUCUAAGUAUAAGCAAUUUAUACAGUGAAACUGCGAAUGGCUCAUUAAAUCAGUUAUCGUUUAUUUGAUAGUACCUUACUACUUGGAUAACCGUGGCAAUUCUAGAGCUAAUACUUAUUAAAAACCCCGACUGUUUGGGAGGGGUGUAUUUAUUAGAUAAAAAAUCAAUGCCUUCGGGCUCUUUGAUGAUUCAUAAUAACUUUUCGAAUCGCAUGGCCUUGUGCUGGCGAUGGUUCAUUCAAAUUUCUGCCCUAUCAACUUUCGAUGGUAGGAUAGUGGCCUACCAUGGUUU